rnacentral:misc_RNA from 1 species
AAGUCGUAACAAGGUUUCCGUAGGUGAACCUGCGGAAGGAUCAUUACAAAUCCAAAAUAUAUACGAUUCGCGAGGGUCUUCCUUCCAAUAGGGGGAGGGGAGGGGGGAAGGACGCGAGGGAACAGCAGGGGAGGUUCCUUUCCUCGUCGACAUCACAACAACACACACUUACACUUGACCCUUGUAUGAAAACCGAAUGAAAAGAGAAUACCUUUUAACAAUGGAUCUCUUGGCUCUU